AGUCCUUAGAACUACUUAUAAAAUGAUAAUGGAGGAUUUAUCAUGUGGUUCUUAAAUCCUGCUCACAAUCAAAUGAUACAAUUAUUACAAGGACGAUAACUGUAUCGAGUGUAGAUCGUUGUGUACCAUAUUAGUUGGUUGUCCUCUUAACCAAGACAUGUAGUGACACGAGUAUGGCAUACAGGUGAUAUGUAGGAGUAUGUUUCACUAAGCGUGACCACUUUCAGAGCACUCUGCUAUCAAGGAUUACUCUAAUAGGAUAUGGGUAUAUGUGUCCC
rnacentral:lncRNA from 1 species